UACGGAGGGUGCAAACGUUGCUCGGAAUCAUUGGGCGUAAAGCGCACGUAGGCGGUCUCGAAAGUCAGAUGUGAAAGCCCUCGGCUUAACCAAGGAAGUGCAUUUGAAACUUCGAGACUUGAGUACUGGAGAGGGUCGCAGAAUUCUCGGUGUAGAGGUGAAAUUCGUAGAUAUCGGGAGGAAUACCAGUGGCGAAGGCGGCUCACUGGGGGUUUUCUGACGCUGAGGAACGAAAGCCAGGGGAGCGAACGGG
rnacentral:rRNA from 1 species